rnacentral:rRNA from 1 species
AUUGAACGCUGGCGGCAGGCCUAACACAUGCAAGUCGAGCGGGGUUUUCGGACCUAGCGGCGGACGGGUGAGUAAUGCGUAGGAAGCUACCCGAUAGAGGGGGAUACCAGUUGGAAACGACUGUUAAUACCGCAUAAUGUCUACGGACCAAAGUGUGGGACCUUCGGGCCACAUGCUAUCGGAUGCGCCUACGUGGGAUUAGCUAGUUGGUGGGGUAAUGGCUCACCAAGGCGACGAUCCCUAGCUGGUUCGAGAGGAUGAUCAGCCACACUGGAACUGAGACACGGUCCAGACUCCUACGGGAGGCAGCAGUGGGGAAUAUUGGACAAUGGGCGCAAGCCUGAUCCAGCCAUGCCGCGUGUGUGAAGAAGGCCUUCGGGUUGUAAAGCGCUUUCAGUAGGGAGGAAGGGUGUUGUGUUAAUAGCACAGCAUUUUGACGUUACCUACAGAAGAAGCACCGGCUAGCUCUGUGCCAGCCGCCGCAGUAAUAC